CAAGUUUAUCUGUAAAGACAUGCGACCCUACAAUGUGGUUGAAAAUCCGGGGUUCUGUGAAUUGAUCCAAACAUUGUGUAAUUAUUGUGUAAUGUUUACAUUGAAAAUGGCACUUGAUUCAAAUAAAAGGUUAAUACAUUUGCCAUCAAUUGUUGUUUGCUUGUUUAUAAUAUCCAUAAUUCAUUUAAACCUGAUUUCCUUACAAGAAACAACAGGGAUCUCAGAAACUUUGCCUGCACUGUCCAGUAAAGUUACUGAAUCGAUUUCAAGUCACUGAAUCGAAUCGAAUCGUUCUAAAUUAACCCAGAUCGUCCAUGAAUCGAAUCGGCAACCAUGAAUCGCGAUUCGAAUCGAAUCGUUGUUAAAAUGAAUCAUUACACCCCUAGAUGACAGGCCUGGAGGUGCUGGAGCUCAUCCUUGAUCUCAACAGUGAAAUAGAAGAGGACGUGUCAGAAGAUGAAGACCAAUUCACAUUCAGAUGUGGUCAAUUCACAUUAAAAUGGUACCGAUUAUUAUGUCACAGACAUUAAGUCAGCUUUUCAGCUAGUCACGCCAAACUCAAUACGGAAAGCAGUUCUAGAAAUGACUCAUCUAGAAGUGGGAUGGGUUUUGGGGAAGUGGAAAGAGCAUUUACAUGUAUAUUUGGGGAUCCUUCUCAUAAAUAUAGUUUACUUUUAAUACAAUUGAUUCAUUCAGCUUGAUUUUGAGUGCAUAUGACCCUGAACAGCAGAGGUGUCUCAUCUCUUUUUUUCUACAUCAGCACAUUAAAAAAAGGUUUAAAAAAUGACAAAUAAAUAAGUAAAAAAGACUAAACUAAACUUAAUUCCAAUAUAGCCCAAAAAUAGUUUGAGUUAUCAUAUUUCAACUAUGAUCUCUGGAGGGAUGAAUAAUUACAUUAAAUACUGAUUCAAUUGUUACUAAAGGUUUUGAUUAGUUUCUGACAAACUUUGGAUGAUCAAACAUGCAUCAUUGCUCUACCUGAGAAACAAACAAACAAAGCUUUUGAUCACAUUGUGCUUCCAUCUUCCAUACGGCAUCAGUCACCGGAACACAAGUCCCUUUCCUGUGUAAACAUGACAGUGCUGAACGAAGGCCUCUCCUGUAAAUGAACACUUUUUGUAGUUUAGUGUGAAAGGCUGCCCCUGACCACAACACUAUCCAACACAUUUCAGAUGAAGUUUAAGAGUAAGUGCAAGGCACGUCUUACCAACUGGGCUAUACUGAGAAGGGAAGAGUGCUAGUUUUCUAUUUUUUUCAAUUUUCCAUUGACCUUGUGUGCGCAUCUAUGCUGGUUACUGGUAAAGCCUAGCACAACUAAUUAAAAAAAAAGUGUUAAAACCCUCUGCCAUUCUUAUCGUCAGGUUCUGUUUGACAAUUUCAAGUCUGAUGAUGAUUCCCGAAACAAAGCAAAAUCUGAUAUUAGUCUAAUGAUAAUUCAAUUCAAUUAAUUUUAUUUUAUAUAGCCUAAACCCCCAUCGCAACAGCAAGCAUUGUUUUAGCAUAACUCUUUGACCAAUAACAAACAACACAGGCACACAUUGGGCAGCACUAACAAGUCGUAUUUAUUGUAUUCCUAUCAAUGUGUAAUGAGGUGUUCUGAAUUAAAUAUGGUGUUCAGUGAAUUCAUUUGAGUGCCUGUUUAUCUGAAUACAAUGACAGUUCCAUUUUCCCAAUGGAAUAUCAUUUUUGAAGUUGGUUAGAAUCCACGAUUGAAUAUAAAUGAUUGUCUUUGUUUGUGUUUCCUUUACUUUAACUAUUGUCUCUCUCAUUAGUCUUACACGUUGAAUACGGUUUGAUUAAUCCCAUCUCAUCUCAAAUUAUAUCCUCUUUUUCUAAACCCCUUUACAUCCAUCCAUCAACUGUCCAUCCUUAUAUCCCUCCUUUCCUCCUUUCCAUCAAAUAGGUGCCAGGGGUCAUGCUAAUAAAACCCAGGAUUUAAUCAAAUACAAGUGUUUUAUUGGUACACAUGUUGGCAGGACAGAUGAUUUCAAAGUAAGAAUACAUACUUUCAUAGUGUAUUUGAAGAAGAAAAGAUAUUGUACAAGUGAACAUGUGUGAAAUUGUUUGUGACGGACACAUUUGUGAAAAAAGUGCCAUUAUUGUAACAAAAUGAGGUUAAACACCAUCUAAUUUCCUCUGCCUUCAUUUUUUUUUUAAAUGUCAACGGUUCAACAUUCAACAGAUGGCCAUUAAUCUCACGUUAUGUAUGACUCCAUGGCCCUCCACAAUUAGCUAUCAACCACCAUACAUCCUCUCUCUCUCUCUCUCUCUCUCUCUCCCUGUCUCUCUGAGCGGAAGGAGUGGUGAGUGUACGGAGCGUGAGGUGAAUUGUUUGAAUUGUGCUUUCUAUCCGUUAUUUCGUUUAUUUCGGUGUGUUUCUGGUGUGUGUUGUGAAUGCGUGGUGGUGUGUAUGUGUGUCUUUUGUCUCUUUCUGUGUUAGUUUGUGCGUGUUUGUAGCCGGUCGGCAUGUCGGACCUCACAGGGCUGACGCGGAAGCACGGCGUGAAGCACGGCGUGAAGCUCGCGCCGGCUUCGCGUGCUCCGUGGAGGACUGCGGUCUGGCCGUGGGGGGGUUGGUGGGGCAGCUCGAGGAGCUGGCGAAACACGGGAAGGUGGUGUCCCCGGUAAGGAAGAUGUCCUCAGGGUGCAAGUCACCCUUACUGAGACAUGUGGUCUCUCACAGGAGACAGACCCACAUGGUCCUCACCAAAGCCCAGGCUCUCAGCCUGGUGAUUAAGGUGAGGAUCGAGGGGUUUGACUACGUUAUGUUUGCCACAUCGGAUGAUGGGAGGUGUUUCCGAUGUGGUGGAGAGGGACACCUGGCGAGGGUUUGUUCGGAGAGGAACCCCUCCACUCGGGACCAGAACCGGGGAGAGGCCAGGGAGGAAGAGGGGGAAGGUGAGGACCGGCGGGUCGGUCUGGUGGGAGAGGAGAUGGGAGAGGUCCACCAGGUGGGUGUGGGGGUGAGUGAGGGGACGGGUGAGGCCCAGCCGGUCGGUCAUGGGGGUGAGGGAAUGAAUUUCGGA
ensembl:lncRNA